rnacentral:rRNA from 1 species
AUUGGUGCUUGCACCAGAUGACGAGUGGCGCACGGGUGCGUAACGCGUAUGCAAUCUACCUUUUACUAGAGUAUAGCCCAGAGAAAUUUGGAUUAAUCCUCUAUAAUAUCUUUAAGUUUCAUGACUUUUAGAUUAAAGUUUUAACGGUAAAAGAUGAGCAUGCGUCCUAUUAGUUUGUAGGUGAGGUAACGGCUCACCUAGACUACGAUAGGUAGGGGCCCUGAGAGGGGGAUCCCCCACACUGGUACUGAGACACGGACCAGACUCCUACGGGAGGCAGCAGUAAGGAAUAUUGGACAAUGGACGAAAGUCUGAUCCAGCCAUGCCGCGUGCAGGAUGAAAGCCCUAUGGGUUGUAAACUGCUUUUAUAUAGGAAGAAACACUCGUACGUGUACGAGCUUGACGGUACUGUAAGAAUAAGGACCGGCUAACUCCGUGCCAGCAGCCGCGGUAAUACGGAGGGUCCGAGCGUUAUCCGGGAUCAUUGGGUUUAAAGGGUCCGCAGGCGGUCUUUUAAGUCAGAGGUGAAAUCCUACAGCUCAACUGUAGA